UUAGAAAGCUAUGUUGUGAGCUGUUAGAUUUAAAGGAUGCAGUGGAGAACUUAUGUGGAAAUAUGCGAACAAAGUACUUGGCUUUUUUGAGAUAUAUAUGGAGCAGGCAAAAAUAAAAUCGUUGGAAGAUGAGGUGAAGGAAAAGGAGUUGAUCACGCCAAGAUACUUAAGUGCAAAAAGGAGAUACGAAUAUGGAUAUCACAGAUAGCAGAAGGUGACAAUGCUUUGGCGAAAAGUAUUUGGCAACAAAUAAAUGAAAACAAAUUAGUAGAACACAAAGAUGCUGUUAAAGUGGAUGUGAAUUAUAUGUUCUCUAUUCUUCAUUACUAUGGGAGAAAACUUCUCAAGCGCCAUUUCUGCAUGGAGAUCCUAAAAAAAGUAGACCGUCUUAGAGAUAUGGGGGAAGAAAUGUUGAAAAUUAUCUGCAACAAAAUGAAGCUAAAAUGAAGCUAAAGACGUUCGAGGAGAAUACGUUAGUUGUUGAAGCGUUACACCCAAUUGAGCGGAUGAUGAUUAUUAUAGAAGGCUCUCUGCGGAUGUACCAGCCAACUAGUGAUGCUGCUGCUGCUCCCCAAACUCCUUCCCAAACCACAGUUUUCGAGGAAGGUGAUAUUGUGGGACAUGAACUUGUGUCUUGGGCAGCGUCAAACCCAAAUUUUAAGGACCCCCCUAUUUCCAACAAACAUGUCAAAUGCCUCUCCAAAGUAACAGCCUUCGUUCUCACAAGUGAGGACUUGAGAAAAUUAGUCAGCUCCAAACGCAUCAUCUUCGGGACAAGGGCGGAAUCAGGAGUUUUUCAGUGGAUGCGCUAGUUAAAAUUUUUAGCUUAAAAUCUAAUGAUUUUUUUUUUUUACAAAAAAAAUCUUACCUUUUGCAAUGUGA